rnacentral:rRNA from 1 species
GUAAAGGGCCAGUAGACGGUUUUGGUAAAUUUGUGCGUGAAAGCCUCGUGCUCAACGCGAGGAAGCCGGACAAUACUGUCAAGCUAGAGGGCAUCAGAGGGGACUGGAAUUCCCGGAGUAGCGGUAAAUGCGCAGAUAUCGGGAGGACACCGAUGGCGAAGGCAGCUCCCUGGGGGUGUACCUGACGCUGAGGGGCGAAAGCUAGGGGAGCGAACAGGAUUAGAGACCCUGGUAGUCCUAGCUGUAAACGCUGGGUGCUAGGUAUGGGGCGUAGAAGCUCUGUGCCGCAGCAAACGCGAUAAGCAUCCCGCCUGGGAAUUACGGUCGCAAGGCUAAAACUCAAACGAAUUGACGGGGCCCCGCACAAGCAGCGGAGCGUGUGGUUCAAUUCGAUGCUACACGAAGAACCUUACCUGGGUUUGACAUGUACGUGGUAGAGAAGCGAAAGCGGAUUGACCCUUCGGGGAGCGUACACAGGUGCUGCAUGGCUGUCGUCAGCUCGUGCCGUGAGGUGUCGGGUUAUGUCCCGUAACGAGCGCAACCCUUGCCCUUAGUUACAAGUGUCUAGGGGGACUGCCGGCGGGAAGCCGGAGGAAGCUGGGGAUGACGUCAAGUCAGCAUGGCCCAUAUGUCCAGGGCUACACACACGCUACAAUGGUCGGUACAAAGGGUAGCGAAGCCGCGAGGCGGAGCGAAUCUCAUCAAAGCCGGUCGUAGUUCGGAUUGCAGGCUGCAACCCGCCUGCAUGAAGCUGGAGUUGCUAGUAACCGCGCGUCAGCCAUCGUGCGGUGAAUACGUACCCGGGGCUUGUACACACCGCCCGUCACGUCAUGGGAGUCGGUAACGCCUGAAGCCGGUAGACUAGCCUGCAAGGGGGACGCUGUCGAAGGCGGGA